CAACUUUUCUGCCUUCUACUGAGGGAUCUCUGAGUAGUCAUUUUGGGUAAGGGUCUUCUACAUCCCUCACAGUUGGGGGCUCGUCCGGGAUGGGGUCUUUGGGGGAGAUGGCUAUGUGCACCCCGAACAGGGACAGGUGCCCACGGAGUAGUUUUCUCCAUGGUCUCUGGCUCUGGGUGAGCAGCCUCCCUCCCCUCUUAGACAACGACCCGAAGCAGGAAUACUCAGUGGAAUACAGAAUUGAAGAUUGAAAGAAGUAGAGUCCUGAUGGCCGGCAUUUGCAGCCUGAAAAGAAACAUAUGUUCUCGAGAUUAUUGAAUCUCUUCUGAGACAUGGAUCGGCCCAUCUGAAGCUUAGAUUGACACCACACCCACACCCCUGCAUGGAUUGAGCACCUUCGCCCAUUUCUCAGCCUGAAGCAGCUAAGAUCGAGACCAUCGCCAGUGCUCCUGAUGUAAUUUGGACUGAUAUGGGGGAAGUGGGAAAGUGGUUGAUGAAUUAUUGUUAAAAUUACAAUUCUAUUACUAGAGUUAGGAAAAAAAAUGCAAACAUUACUGUGUGUUUAAGAUUUGGGAUGGAAAUUAUUAAAAAUGGUAACUAUUGCUGUUAAGGAAGCUAUAAAAUGUUUAUAAUAUCUAUGUUCACUUCAGAAUAUGUAAUUGUUUAAGGUAUUUGAUUUGAUUUGAUUUGAUUGAUUUUAGGAAACUCCUCCUGUACUAGACUGUUAUGUAUGUAGGAACUUUAAUUCACUCUUGGGAUUUAUAUGUGGAUGGUUAUUUGACUAUUUAUUUAUUUAUUUUUUUGGAUGAUUCCUUUCCAUGAGGAAAAAAAAGGAGAGGAAGAGAUAGGGGACUAGGGAAACUGGUGGAUUUUUCUCAAAAUACCUAAAAGAGUAGGAACCCUUAGUUUUCUUUCACUUUUGCCUUACGUACUUCUGCCCCAUCCCCUAUACCACCAGUUCAGAUUAAAUUGGAAGUCCUUAAGCAAUCUUUUUUGUUUUUACUAUGUUUUAGCUUUGAAACCCCUCAUUCUGUGGAAUUGCCCUGGCAGACUCAGUUUUGGGAACUAUUCUAUUUUUAAGAAAUCUCCAAGAUAAAGACACUUGUCUUGGGACUGGCAAUCUCCAGCCCUGUAACCCCAGUUUCUUAACUGGUACCUCAGCAUUUUUAAUAACAUUGCCCUUUUGAGAUCAAGCCUCUAAAGUUUGGGGUUUGCCUGCCUUCAUGUUCUAACUGUGCAUGCUCUGAUAGCUCUGCUCAGAAAUCUGUAUUCUAGUAGCAGCCCUGUCUGUCCCCCUGGGUGGGGACAGGUGGAGCUACACUAAGCCUCACCCUUCUCCCCUGCAGUGGGUUGCCCCUCUGAAUGGGCAGCAUGACUGUCUCGAGCCCUGCUACUCCCUUUAUAAGCAGAAGCUGAGUUAAGUGCACAAAUGACUGCAGACCACCUAACACAGUGAACUGUCCAUCUCAAACUGGAUUCUCUGGCUGAGAUGAGGGCCUUUGUACUGCUGAUAACUCUGGGGUUGUCAGGAAGAGACUUGCCCUUGCUAUAAGUCCUUGCAUUUUCUAGUUUCAUUUUGACUUAUUUGCCUCACAUUGGAUUGGUCAAAAUUAUGGUGCUGAGACCUCCCAGGUAUCUUGGGGAGGUAAUUCAAUAAUUCAAAUAUUCAGAAGAAGAGUGUGUAAUGUUCUGCCUCAGUUUCCCUAGAUUGUCAUCUUUAUUUAUCUUUGUAUUUUUAUAUUUGCCAAAUGCCAAUCUGUUCUGUGAUAACUGUUUCUAAGAUAGUUGGUGGAAGCAAUUUUUAUGGUAUGAACUUAUUGCAAUCAAUGGUAUUAUCCUGUUGCUGCUAUGUCUAUUUUGUAUAAUUACAUUAGUAACCAGAAUAGUUCAGUGGUCCCUAUCAAAAUAUUGCAUACAGAAGAUGCUAUUAAAAUGAUAAUUCUUCAGAGAAAAGACUGGAAUGUAUUAAAGAGGGAUGAUCUUGAUUGUGAACUUGAUAAACAAUGUAUAGAUAUAUUAA